GUUUGCCAGUUUGGAUCCCGGGGGCAGACCUACACACCGCUUAUCAAGCCAGGCUGUGGCAGGCAUCCCACAUAUAAAGUGGAGGAAGAUGGGCACAGAUGUUAGCUCAGGGCCAAUCUUCCUCAGCAAAAAGAGGAGGAUUGGUGGCAGAUGUUAGCUCAGGGCUAAUCUUCCUAAAAAAAAAGAAUGUGGAGUUGGGUUGGAUGGUAAGAGGGAUGAGUAAGAGAGAGGAAUGUAGUUAAAAAUAUCUCCCAGAUUUGGAGCCAAUUUGAACCAUUUGGGGGAGAAAUACAGUUUGGGACCUGUAGAGUUGGUGGCAUCUCUUGCCAUCCACAUGGAGAUGACCAGUGUUCGCCUGCAUGGAUGGGUAUGGAGGCUGGCGAGGAUCUGAGCUGGAGACAGACUGUGAGCCUGAGACCCAGGGAGCUUAGAAACCCGGCCAGAAUCUGGCAGAGCGGGGGCCCUAACCCGCCGUCUGAGCCCACGGUGGCACCCUUAAUCACCAAGCUCCACAGUGUGGGGGACGAGAGAGUGGAACUACCGGAGAAGACACGGGGAUGCGGCUCGGAGAGAGAGGAUGGACUGAAGCGAUUUGAAAGGCCCGGAGUUGGGGACCAAAGGACAGUUCUGCUGAUUGCCUGGCUAUUCUCGAUGUGUCCACUUCCUCCUCUUUUUUUAAGAUUCUCAGUUCUGGAGCCUGGGAAAUCCAAGAUCAAGGCGCCAGCAGAUUCAGUGUCUGGUGAGAGCCCACUUCCUGGUUCAGAGAUGGUCCUCUUUUCUCUGUAUCCUCACACGGUGGAAGGGGAGCAUCUGACCAAACUGUCCAUGCAUCCUCCUUCCACUAGAACACCUUCCUGCAAGCUCGCUCCUGGAGGUUCACCCUUUACCAGACGUGGAUGAUUCUCAGAUGGGUUCAAGCUGGGACCACAUGCUCACGCACAUAUGCACAAGCAUGUGCUCACACUGUUACUACCACAUCUUCUGUAAGAGCGCAGAAGAAAUAAUAAAAUUAUCCUUGAUUAAGCACC
rnacentral:lncRNA from 1 species